AUUGAACGCUGCGGCAGGCUUAACACAUGCAAGUCGAGCGAGGGGAGGACGGGUGUGUAAUGCGUAGGACUCUGCCCCUUCGUGGGGGACACCAUCUCGAACGGGAUGCUAUUACCGCAUACUAAUGGAUGAGCCUAAGUCGGAUUCGCUAGUUGGUGGGGUUAAGGCCUACCAAGGCGACGAACUGUAGCGGGUCUGAGAGGAUGAUCCGCCCCACUGGGACUGGGACACGGCACAGGCUCCUACGGGAGGGAGCAGUGGGGAAUAUGGGACAAUGGGGGGAAACCUGAGCCAGCCAUGCCGCGGGUGUGAAGAAGGCCUUAUGGUUGGGAAGCACUUUAAGCGAGGAGGCGUUACUCGCAGAAUAAGCACCGGCUAACUCUGUGCCAGCAGCCGCGGUAAUUC
rnacentral:rRNA from 1 species